rnacentral:rRNA from 1 species
UACGUAGGUGGCAAGCGUUACUCGGAAUCACUAGGCGUAAAGCGCAGGUAGGUGGUUGGAUAAGUUUCUUGUGAAAGCUCCUGGCUCAACUGGGAGAGGCCAAGGAAUACUGUUCGACUAGAGUAUGGUAGGGGUAACUGGAAUUCCCGGUGUAGCAGUGAAAUGCGUAGAGAUCGGGAGGAACACCAGUGGCGAAGGCGGCCUUCUGGACCAAUACUGACGCUCAUGCACGAAAGCGUGGGGAGCAAACAGG